rnacentral:lncRNA from 12 species
UCUGGAAAAAAAUAACCGGACUGCAAUAAAGAUGCCGGGAUUUAUGCUACCUGGUCCUGCGUUUGUAAAGCAGGGUUGUUAUUAAUAACUAUCUGAUGGGGUCAUUGCGGACGUCCCAGAAAUGUUAUUUGUGGGCAAUGUCUUGACAAUGGAGAAGGGGCUAAGAGGUGUCUCUUCUGGAGACAAAGGGUGUGUCACCGGGAGAUCUCUGAACCUUAGACACUUAACAGUUGGAGAUUUGGGGCAAGUCAUGUACUCUCUCGGGGCCUCAAAUUUAUCACCUGUGAAAUGAAAAUGCUAAUACCUACGUUUUAGGCCUUUAGUGGAAAUUAGAUGCCAAGUGUUUAAUAAACAUGGAGUGCUGCCUUCUUUCAUUCAGAAAUAUAUGAAACACUGACUGUGAGCCGGGGAAGCUGUUGGGAGCUGAGGAUGGAGACAGAAGUUGUUAGAGGAGCAGAUCUGAGUCCGAGGGUGCCACUCUGCAGCUCUGGCCUCAGAGCCUGGAGGCACUCGGAAUCUGUGGAGGAAUUCCAGAGAAGGUGGAGGAAUGUGGGAGAAAGUUCCAAAGAAGGAUGUGAAAAAGCAAGUAGAGAAGACAGGCUCCAGGAGAAGAAAAAAGAAAGAGAGAAAGAAAGAAACUUCUCGUUGUCAGAAUCGGAAUGCAUAUCAGUUAUGCUGGAGACAAUGAAAACAUCAAAAAGCACAUACAAGCCAUAAAAAAUUCAGGUCCUCUGAAGCAAUGUGGGACACGCUUGGUUGCGCUCCUCAUUUGCAUGUCAGUACCCACAAUGCUCUGCUGGCUCCCAGAUCUUUCUGAGCAGCCCCAGUGUCUGAGCUCUAGGGAACAAAGUGAAAGGUUCGUGUGUGCUCGUGGGUGAGACAGGUACUUUGGUAUCGGCGGGAAAGGCAAGGCGGGUGUGGGGAGAGAGGCUCCCACCGUGGUGAUUAGCAGCCAGCCCUUUAGGCUUACAGGAGCUGUAUCUUGCCUUUUGUUUUCUUUGUCUUUUUGUUUUUGUUUUUGUUUUUGCCUUCCUCUUCUUCCCUUUGCCCAACAACGCAGAGCUGGUGAAGGCACGCUGUGCAGCCUUUAGAAGCCCUGACUGAUGGGGUUGCUACACCACUUGCCUGGAAUUGGAGAUUUGGGGUCAGCCUGUGUCUUCUGAUGCUGGCCCGCAUUCCAAGACGUGUUGGCCUCUUCAGCAUUUGGGCUCCUGAGGACGGUCCCUGCUUGGUCAACGUGAAAACGUAGAGGUGUGACCCUGACCUGCUGCUGGGGACCCAAGGGGAACACGCUGACUUCACUCUUUCCUCCCAAGCACAACACUUUUCUCUGCAAACGUCGCUCCCCUGGACCCCCGCAGAGCCAUGGUCUGCACAUUCCAAAUCCCAGGGGGGCAGAUAGGAAUACAGGGCCCAAAUUAGAAGUCCUUGGAGGCAGGGACAUACAUUUGGUCCCUGACUUGGUGUCCCCAGCCUCCUGGGUGGUCUUGGGGGUGUUACUUGCUCCCUACCAUUCCUCCGUUCCUUCCCAAGCCUGUCCUGUGCUGGGAGGAUCUACAGAGCUUGGGUGGCUAUCACAUCUGCGAUUUUAACAUGGCCAGCCAUUCUGGGACAUGACAAAAUAUGUAAAAAAUAAAAGUAAAGCUCGAUCUUUGAGGCUCCUACCU